UACAGAGGGGGCAAGCGUUGUCCGGAUUGACUGGGCGUAAAGCGCACGUAGGUGGUUGGUUACGUGGUGUGUGAAAGCUCAGGGCUUAACCCUGAUAGGCCAUGCCAAACGAAUCGACUUGAGGCUGAGCAGAGGCGGGUGGAAUUGCCGGUGUAGUGGUGAAAUGCGUAGAGAUCGGCAGGAACACCAAGGGGGAACCCAGCCCGCUGGGCCAGUCCUGACACUGAGGUGCGACAGCGUGGGGAGCGAACAGG
rnacentral:rRNA from 1 species